ACUGUGGUGGUGACAGGUGACGGAGAAUUAGGGUUUGAUUCCAUAGAGGGAGCUUAAGAAAUGGCUACCACAUCCAAGGAAGACAGCAGGCGUACAAAUUACAUAAUCCUGACAUGGGGAUGUAGUGACAAUAAAUAACAAUACUAGGCUCUAUAAGUCUGGUAAUUGGAAUGAGCAUAAUCUAAAUCCCUUAACAAGGAUCCAUUGAAAGGUAAGUCUAGUGCUAGUAGCUGUUGUAAUUCCAGCUCUAAUAACGUAUAUUUAAGUUGUUGCAGUUGAAAAGCACAUAGUUGGAACUAGGGUUGGGUCAUUCGGUCGACCUCACGGUAAGCACCGAUCUAUAUGUCUCUACUAUUGGUGAUGCAUUAUUGGCCUUAAUUAGCUGGGUUGUUCCUUUGAUGCUGUUACUUUGAAGAAAUUAGAAUGCUUAAAGUAGGCCUACACUUGUAUACAUUAGCAUGGGAUAACAAUAUAAGAUUUCGAUCUUAUUAUGUUGUCCUUCGAGAUUGGAGUAAUAAUUAAUAAGGACAGUCAUAGGCAUUCGUAUUUCAUAGUCAGAGGUAAAAUUUUUGGAUUUAUGAAAGACGAACAACUAUAAAAGCAUUUGCCAAGAAUGUUUUCAUUAAUAAAAAAAAAAAGUUGAAGGCUCAAAGAUGAUCAGAUACCAUCCUAGUCUCAACCAUAAAUGAUGCCGACCAGGGAUAGGCAGAUGUUACUUUUAAGACAUUACCGACACCUUAUGAGAAAUCAAAGUCUUUCGGUUCCAAAGGGAGUAUAGUCACAAGGCUAAAACUUAAAGGAAUUAAUAGAAGGGCACCACCAGGAGUAGAGCCUACGGCUUAAUUUGACUCAACAUGGGAAAACUUACUAGGUCCAGACAUAGUAAGGAUUGAUAAAUUGAGAGCUCUUUGUUGAUUCUAUGGAUGGUGGUGCAUGGUCGUUCUUAGUUGGUGGAGCGAUUUAUCUAGUUAAUUCCAUUAACAAACGAGACCUCAGCCUAUUAACUAGCUAUACGGAAGUGAUCCUUCAUGGCUAGCUUUUUAGAGGGACUAUGGCUGCUUAGGCUAAGGAAGUUUAAGACAAUAACAGGUCUGUGAUGCCCAUAGAUGUUUUGGGCCACACGCUCGCUACACUGAUGUAUUCAAUAAGUCUAUAGCCUUGGUCGACAAACUCAGGUAAUCUUUGAAAUUUCAUCAUGAUGGGGAUAGAUCAUUGCAAUUGUUGAUCUUCAAUGAAAAAUUCUUGGUAAACCGAGUCAUCAGCUCAUGUUAACUAUGUCCUUACCCUUUAUACACAUCACCCAUCUCUCUUACCGAUUGAAUGGAUUGGUGAAGUGUUUGGAUCGUGACGACGUGGAUGGUUCAUCACCCGCGACGUCACGAGAAGUCCAUUAAACCUUAUAAUUUAGAAGAAGGAGAAUUCGUAACAAGGUUUUGUAAGUGAACCUAUGGAAG
rnacentral:rRNA from 1 species